rnacentral:rRNA from 1 species
UGCCAUCCGCCGAGGUACUCCGGCGGGAUCUCGCUUUGUUCGGAAUUACUGGGCGUAAAGCGUGCGUAGGCGGAUCGACAAGUUGGGGGUGAAAUCCCGGGGCUUAACCCCGGAACUGCCCUCAAAACUGUCGAUCUAGAGACCGGGAGAGGUAAGCGGAAUUCCUAGUGUAGAGGUGAAAUUCGUAGAUAUUAGGAAGAACACCAGUGGCGAAGGCGGCUUACUGGACCGGUACUGACGCUGAGGUACGAAAGCGUGGGGAGCGAACAGGAUUAGAUA